rnacentral:rRNA from 1 species
CCUACGGGAGGCUGCAGUGGGGAAUAUUGCACAAUGGGGGCAACCCUGAUGCAGCGACGUAGCGUGAGUGAUGACGUACCUAGUUGUGUAAAGCUCUAUCUGUAGGGGAGUAAAUGACGGUACCUGAGUCAGAAGCCCCGUCUAAAUACGUGCCAGCAGCCGCGGUAAUACGUAGGCGGCAAGCGUUAUCCGGAUUUACUGGGUGUAAAGGGAGCGUAGACGGGAGUGCAAGUCUGGAGUGAAAGGCGGGGGCUCAACCCCAGGACUGCAAUGGAAACUGGACGGCUUGAGUGCAGGAGAGGUAAGUGGAAUUCCUGGUGUAGCGGUGAAAUGCGUAGAUAUUACGAGGAACACCGGUGGCGAAGGCAGCUUACUAAACUGUAACUGACAUUGAGGCUCGAAAGCGUGGGGAUCAAACAGGAUUAGAUACCCUAGUAGUC